rnacentral:misc_RNA from 1 species
AAUGCACCUUGCGCCCCUUGGUAUCCCGAGGGGCAUGCCCGUUUGAGUGUCAUGGUGUUCUCAACCUGUCCUAGGGGCAGUGUUGGACUUGGGCUUGCAGGCUCUCUGCUUGCCUUGAAUGCAUUAGCUGGUGCUGGACGUGGUAACCCUUAUACGUCUCUCCUGGCUCACAGCAUAUACCUACUUUGACCUUUGGACCUCAAAUCGGGCAAGACUACCCGCUGAACUUAA